UUUAUUGAGAGUUUGAUCCUGGCUCAGGACGAACGUUGGCGGCGUGUCUAAGGCAUGCAAGUCGAGCGUGGUUCCGAUUUCGGUCGGAAUCUAGCGGCAAACGGGUGAGUAACACACUGGUAACCUGCCUCCGAGACGGGCAUAGCCCACCGAAAGGUGGAUUAAUACCCGAUGGUCAUGGGGGGUCGUAUGACAUUCCCAUGUAAAUCUUUUUUGGCUCGGAGAGGGGCCUAUGUCUGAUUAGCUUGUUGGUAGGGUAAUGGCCUACCAAGGCACCGAUCAGUAGCAGGCGUGAGAGCGUGACCUGCCUCACUGGGACUGAGAUACUGCCCAGACUCCUACGGGAGGCUGCAGUCAAGAAUAUUCCGCAAUGGCCGAAAGGCUGACGGAGCGACGCCGCGUGCAGGAAGACGCCCUUCGGGGUGUAAACUGCUUUUAUGUGGGAAGAAUCCCCACACCUUUUAUGCUUUAUGGUAUACUUCGAUACUAUGUAUUAUGUAUACAUUCUCAAAAGCAUGAAAGAUGCACAAUUGUACAUUGGUGUUACCGAUGAUUUGCGCAGACGAUUUCAGGAACAUACUGAUGGCAAAACGAAAUCAACAGCAUAUCGCCGGCCACUGAAACUGGUGUACUACGAAGCAUAUCUUUCGUGGAAAGAUGCUGAAAUUCGGGAAAAGAGAUUGAAGCAAUUCGCAAAAGGGUACGCGCAAUUGAAAAAGCGAAUUUUGAACAGCAUUAAUGAAGCAUAAAAGGUGUGGGGUUGUGACGGUACCACAUGAAUAAGAGGUUGCUAACUCUGUGCCAGCAGCAGCGGUAAUACAGAGACCUCAAACGUUGUCCGGAUUUAUUGGGUGUAAAGCGUCCGCAGGUGGUAAAUCAAGUUGGUGGUUAAAUCCCGAUGCUUAACAUCGGGACUGCUGUCAAUACUGAUUCACUUGAGGCCGGGAUAGGCAAGCGGAACUAUCGGUGUAGUCGUAAUAAGCGCUGAUAUCGAUAGGAACACCAAAGGCGAAGGCAGCUUGCUGGAACGUGCCUGACACUCAUGGACGAAAGCGUGGGGAGCGAAUGGGAUUAGAUACCCCAGUAGUCCACGCCCUAAACAAUGCGCACUAGGUAUUGGGAGUAUCGACCCUCUCAGUGCCGUUUAAAAAAGCAAACGCGUUAAGUGCGCCACCUGGGGAGUACGAUCGCAAGGUUAAAACUCAAAGGAAUAGACGGGGACCCGCACAAGUAGAGGAUCAUGUGGUUUAAUUCGAUGGUACGCGGCGAACCUUACCUGGGCUCAACUACGAGCUGCAAGCCCCGAGAAAUCGGGGACGCUUUCGAAGGUGCUCGAUAGGUGCUGCAUGGUUGCCGUCAGCUCGUGCCGUGAGGUGUACCCUUAAGUGGGGUAACGAGCGCAACCCUUGCCCUGAGUUAAAUGUACUCGGGGGACUGCCCGGGCAACCGGGAGGAAGGUGGGGACGACGUCAAAUCAGCAUGGCUCUUACGUCCAGGGCUACACACAUGAUACAAUGAUCAGUACAAAGGGUUGCCAAGUCGCAAGGCGGAGCUAAUCCCAAAAAACUGGUCUCAGUACGGAUUGAAGGCUGCAACUCGUCUUCAUGAAGCUGGAUUUACUAGUAAACGCGCAUCAGCUACGGCGCGUUGAAUACGUUCUCGGGUCUUGUACUCACCGCCCGUCAUACCACGAAAGUUGGCAGCACCCGAAGGCUCCGCAAGGGGACCAAGGUGAGGUCAGUAAUCAGGGUAAAGUCGUAACAAGGCAUCCGUAGCGGAAGCUGUGGAUGGAUCACCUCCUUU
rfam:Candidatus Magasanikbacteria bacterium RIFCSPHIGHO2_02_FTLL_48_18 rifcsphigho2_02_scaffold_61, whole genome shotgun sequence.